rnacentral:rRNA from 1 species
UACGGAGGAUGCGAGCGUUUUCCGGAUUUAUUGGGUUUAAAGGGUGCGUAGGCGGACUGUCAAGUCAGCGGUAAAAUUGAGAGGCUCAACCUCUUCCCGCCGUGGAAACUGGUGGUCUUGAGUGGAUGAGAAGUACGCGGAAUGCGUGGUGUAGCGGUGAAAUGCAUAGAUAUCACGCAGAACUCCGAUUGCGAAGGCAGCGUACCGGCAUCCAACUGACGCUGAGGCACGAAAGCGUGGGGAUCAAACAGG